rnacentral:rRNA from 1 species
GUGGGGAAUAUUGGGCAAUGGGGGCAACCCUGACCCAGCAACGCCGCGUGAAGGAAGAAGGCUUUCGGGUUGUAAACUUCUUUGACCAGGGACGAAACAAAUGACGGUACCUGGAAAACAAGCCACGGCUAACUACGUGCCAGCAGCCGCGGUAAUACGUAGGUGGCGAGCGUUGUCCGGAUUUACUGGGUGUAAAGGGCGCGUAGGCGGGAUGGCAAGUCAGAUGUGAAAUCUGAGGGCUUAACCCUCAAACUGCAUUUGAAACUGCUGUUCUUGAGUGAUGGAGAGGCAGGCGGAAUUCCUAGUGUAGCGGUGAAAUGCGUAGAUAUUAGGAGGAACACCAGUGGCGAAGGCGGCCUGCUGGACAUUAACUGACGCUGAGGCGCGAAAGCGUGGGGAGCAAACAGGAUUAGAUACCCUGGUAGUCC